UGCAAGGUCCUUGAUCAGGGCCUGGAUGGGUGCCGUAAAGGAUGGAGGUGCGUUCGACGUCUCGCCCUCCUUGUGGUAGGUGUAGGCGUUGAUCAGGUGCCGUAGCCCUAGUUCCAGGUACUGAUGCACGUCAACGAGGGCGAGAUCACUCUGCUGGAACCACUUGCUCAAUUCCGCUGUUGCAGCCAGAACUCCGUCAAUGCAGGUGAUGAGCAGGAGGUUGUCCACCUGCCUGCAGGUGUGAAAUAGCAUGCGGUAGUGAUCGCGUUUUAGUCCAAGACAGGAACGCAGUCACGGACACACAUGCAGCGGACAUGGUAUUGUGCGGAGGAGACAAGACGGAGGGGCAAUUGCAGUGCGCAUGCUCAGGGGAAAGCCAUGGGUUUACAUAAAUAGAAAGUCCGUUCAGUUGAGCACUGUUAUGGAGGCCUGUUGGAAUGACGCAUAGGCCGCUCAGAGUUUCAGGACCUGCUUGUUGUAGGAACUUCAAGGAGUGAAAGGGGCUGCAAUAGCCUUUGCUGCUGGCUGCAACACGCAUGGUGUGAGCGUUAUGCAGCCUCUGCUGCUGGGAGGGGCACUGGGUGCGCAGGCGGUGUCAGGAGCCGUAAGCAGGGACCGGGCCGCGACGCGCCCAUCCGCACGGGGCCUGUAGGUUGAUGCGGUAUGCCUGGCGUGUAGAACGCGCGCGCAAACACAUGGUGCCAUGUGAUUACAGCGCUGGAAGCUUGGGGAGUCGCUGGUGGGGGCCGUAUGCAGCCUCUGCUGCUGGCAGCCGUAAGCAGGGACCGGGCCGCGGCGCGCCCAUCCGCACGGGGCCUGUCGGUUGAUGCGGUAUGCCUGGCGUGUAGAACGCGUGCCCCAACACAUUGUACCAUGUGAUUACAGCGCUGAAAGCUUGGGGAGUCACUGGUGGGGGCGGUAUGCAGCCUCUGCCGCCGGCAGGGGCACUGGGUGCUCAGCCGAUGUCAGGAACCGUAAGCAGGGACAGGGCAGUGGCGCGCCCAUCCGCACGGGGCCUGUCGGUUGAUGCGGUAUGCCUGGCGUGUAGAACGCGUGCCCCAACACAUUAUACCAUGUGAUUACAGCACUGGAAGCUUCGGAGUCGCUGGUGGGGGCGGUAUGCAGCCUCUGCCGCCGGCAGGGGCACUGGGUGCUCAGGCGAUGUCAGGAACCGUAAACAGGGACAGGGCAGUGGCGCGCCCAUCCGCACGGGGCCUGUAGGUUGAUGCGGUAUGCCUGGCGUGUAGAACGCGCGCGCAAACACAUGGUACCAUGUGAUUACAGCGCUGGAAGCUUGGGGAGUCGCUGGUGUGGGCCGUAUGCAGCCUCUGCUGCUGGCAGCCGUAAGCAGGGACCGGGCCGCGGCGCGCCCAUCCGCACGGGGCUUGUCGGUUGAUGCGGUAUGCCUGGCGUGUAGAACGCGUGCCCCAACACAUUGUACCAUGUGAUUACAGCGCUGAAAGCUUGGGGAGUCACUGGUGGGGGCGGUAUGCAGCCUCUGCCGCCGGCAGGGGCACUGGGUGCUCAGGCGAUGUCAGGAACCGUAAACAGGGACAGGGCAGUGGCGCGCCCAUCCGCACGGGGCCUGUCGGUUGAUGCGGUAUGCCUGGCGUGUAGAACGCGUGCCCCAACACAUUGUACCAUGUGAUUACAGCACUGGAAGCUUCGGAGUCGCUGGUGGGGGCGGUAUGCAGCCUCUGCCGCCGGCAGGGGCACUGGGUGCUCAGCCGAUGUCAGGAACCGUAAACAGGGACAGGGCAGUGGCGCGCCCAUCCGCACGGGGCCUGUAGGUUGAUGCGGUAUGCCUGGCGUGUAGAACGCGCGCGCAAACGCAUGGUACCAUGUGAUUACAGCGCUGGAAGCUUGGGGAGUCGCUGGUGUGGGCCGUAUGCAGCCACUGCUGCUGGCAGCCGUAAGCAGGGACAGGGCAGCGGCGCGCCCAUCCGCACGGGGCCUGUCGGUUGAUGCGGUAUGCCUGGCGUGUAGAACGCGUGCCCCAACACAUUGUACCAUGUGAUUACAGCACUGGAAGCUUCGGAGUCGCUGGUGGGGGCGGAAUGCAGCCUCUGCCGCCGGCAGGGGCACUGGGUGCUCAGGCAAUGUCAGGAACCAUAAACAGGGACAGGGCCGCGGCGCGCCCAUCCGCACGGGGCCUGUAGGUUGAUGCGGUAUGCCUGGCGUGUAGAACGCGUGCCCCAACACAUUGUACCAUGUGAUUACAGCACUGGAAGCUUCGGAGUCGCUGGUGGGGGCGGAAUGUAGCCUCUGCUGCUGGCAGCCGUAAGCCGGGACAGGGCAGCGGCGCGCCCAUCCGCACGGGGCCCGUCGGUUGAUGCGGUAUGCCUGGCGUGUAGAACGCGUGCCCCAACACAUUAUACCAUGUGAUUACAGCACUGGAAGCUUCGGAGUCGCUGGGGAAACGGCAUACCAAGCCGCUGCCCACCAGGCCGCACAUGCAACCGUCCAAAAUCACACGCCCAGCAAUGCCAGCCCAUGCCUCUUGCAUCGCCCGCGCCCUCCAGAAUGCUUGACGCCCUGCAUGCGUCCCUAGCAGUACAAGGUUUGCCAUGACACACGCAUGUUGUCAGGCGGAGAAACCGCAGACAGGGCAUUCCAAGCCGCUGCCCACCACGCCGCCCAUGCAACCGUCCAAAAUCACACGCCCGGCAAUGCCAGCCCAUGCCUCUUGCAUCGCCCGCGCCCUCCAGAAUGCUUGACGCCCUGCAUGCGUCCCUAGCAGUACAAGGUUUGCCAUGACACACGCAUGUUGUUAGGCGGAGAAACCGCAGACAAGGCAUUCCAAGCCGCUGCCCACCAGGCCGCACAUGCAACCGUCCAAAAUCACACGCCCGGCAAUGCCAGCCCAUGCCUCUUGCAUCGCCCGCGCCCUCCAGAAUGCUUGACGCCCUGCAUGCGUCCCUAGCAGUACAAGGUUUGCCAUGACACACGCAUGUUGUCAGGCGGAGAAACCGCAGACAGGGCAUUCCAAGCCGCUGCCCACCACGCCGCCCAUGCAACCGUCCAAAAUCACACGCCCGGCAAUGCCAGCCCAUGCCUCUUGCAUCGCCCGCGCCCUCCAGAAUGCUUGACGCCCUGCAUGCGUCCCUAGCAGUACAAGGUUUGCCAUGACACACGCAUGUUGUCAGGCGGAGAAACCGCAGACAGGGCAUUCCAAGCCGCUGCCCACCACGCCGCCCAUGCAACCGUCCAAAAUCACACGCCCGGCAAUGCCAGCCCAUGCCUCUUGCAUCGCCCGCGCCCUCCAGAAUGCUUGACGCCCUGCAUGCGUCCCUAGCAGUACAAGGUUUGCCAUGACACACGCAUGUUGUCAGGCGGAGAAACCGCAGACAGGGCAUUCCAAGCCGCUGCCCACCAGGCCGCCCAUGCAACCGUCCAAAAUCACAUGCCCAGCAAUGCCAGCCCAUGCCUCUUGCAUCGCCCGCGCCCUCCAGAAUGCUUGACGCCCUGCAUGCGUCCCUAGCAGUACAAGGUUUGCCAUGACACACGCAUGUUGUCAGGCGGAGAAACCGCAGACAGGGCAUUCCAAGCCGCUGCCCACCAGGCCGCACAUGCAACCGUCCAAAAUCACACGCCCGGCAAUGCCAGCCCAUGCCUCUAGAAUCGCCCGCGCCCUCCAGAAUGCUUGACGCCCUGCAUGCGUCCCUAGCAGUACAAGGUUUGCCAUGACACACGCAUGUUGUCAGGCGGAGAAACCGCAGACAGGGCAUUCCAAGCCGCUGCCCACCAGGCCGCCCAUGCAACCGUCCAAAAUCACACGCCCAGCAAUGCCAGCCCAUGCCUCUUGCAUCGCCCGCGCCCUCCAGAAUGCUUGACGCCCUGCAUGCGUCCCUAGCAGUACAAGGUUUGCCAUGACACACGCAUGUUGUCAGGCGGAGAAACCGCAGACAGGGCAUUCCAAGCCGCUGCCCACCAGGCCGCCCAUGCAACCGUCCAAAAUCACACGCCCGGCAAUGCCAGCCCAUGCCUCUUGCAUCGCCCGCGCCCUCCAGAAUGCUUGACGCCCUGCAUGCGUCCCUAGCAGUACAAGGUUUGCCAUGACACACGCAUGUUGUCAGGCGGAGAAACCGCAGACAGGGCAUUCCAAGCCGCUGCCCACCAGGCCGCACAUGCAACCGUCCAAAAUCACACGCCCGGCAAUGCCAGCCCAUGCCUCUUGCAUCGCCCGCGCCCUCCAGAAUGCUUGACGCCCUGCAUGCGUCCCUAGCAGUACAAGGUUUGCCAUGACACACGCAUGUUGUCAGGCGGAGAAACCGCAGACAGGGCAUUCCAAGCCGCUGCCCACCAGGCCGCCCAUGCAACCGUCCAAAAUCACACGCCCAGCAAUGCCAGCCCAUGCCUCUUGCAUCGCCCGCGCCCUCCAGAAUGCUUGACGCCCUGCAUGCGUCCCUAGCAGUACAAGGUUUGCCAUGACACACGCAUGUUGUAGGCGGAGAAACCGCAGACAGGGCAUUCCAAGCCGCUGCCCACCACGCCGCCCAUGCAACCGUCCAAAAUCACACGCCCGGCAAUGCCAGCCCAUGCCUCUUGCAUCGCCCGCGCCCUCCAGAAUGCUUGACGCCCUGCAUGCGUCCCUAGCAGUACAAGGUUUGCCAUGACACACGCAUGUUGUCAGGCGGAGAAACCGCAGACAGGGCAUUCCAAGCCGCUGCCCACCAGGCCGCACAUGCAACCGUCCAAAAUCACACGCCCGGCAAUGCCAGCCCAUGCCUCUUGCAUCGCCCGCGCCCUCCAGAAUGCUUGACGCCCUGCAUGCGUCCCUAGCAGUACAAGGUUUGCCAUGACACACGCAUGUUGUCAGGCGGAGAAACCGCAGACAGGGCAUUCCAAGCCGCUGCCCACCACGCCGCCCAUGCAACCGUCCAAAAUCACACGCCCGGCAAUGCCAGCCCAUGCCUCUUGCAUCGCCCGCGCCCUCCAGAAUGCUUGACGCCCUGCAUGCGUCCCUAGCAGUACAAGGUUUGCCAUGACACACGCAUGUUGUCAGGCGGAGAAACCGCAGACAGGGCAUUCCAAGCCGCUGCCCACCAGGCCGCACAUGCAACCGUCCAAAAUCACACGCCCGGCAAUGCCAGCCCAUGCCUCUUGCAUCGCCCGCGCCCUCCAGAAUGCUUGACGCCCUGCAUGCGUCCCUAGCAGUACAAGGUUUGCCAUGACACACGCAUGUUGUCAGGCGGAGAAACCGCAGACAAGGCAUUCCAAGCCGCUGCCCACCAGGCCGCACAUGCAACCGUCCAAAAUCACACGCCCGGCAAUGCCAGCCCAUGCCUCUUGCAUCGCCCGGAUGGACAGUUCGGUCUGCAUGAGGAGGGCGCGCAGGACAAGUCAACAACAACAUCAUCUCCCGCACCAUCAUAUCCCGCACUAUGGUAGCAUGCGGUCCCCACCUCCGCGUGCCAACUUGCCCCCUAGUCGGGAGCGGUGUCUAGUUGAGAUGGGAAUCCGGCGCCAGCUGAACCCACCCCCAAAUCCCCAUGCAUGCCCAGCGUAGAGGACCGUUCUAGCACCCGUGCAAAAGUCACGUUGAGGAAGAGUCGUCGGGGGCCAACGGGCUCCGGGACCACAAGAAGACCAGAACGUCACCACACGCCGGCCGGACGGGCCGGUACAGCCGACCCAGUAAGCGGUCGGUACUCUGCUCCGAAGACCCCGUCGCUGAACGGGGAUCAGCUUCCAGAUGCACUAAAACACUAUUGACACUGUAGCCCAGCAGCUACUCACGAAAACAUUAUCGUUUGCUCCUAAUUUUGUGCCCCGCUUCUCCAUUUGUUGUGUGCCGACGGCAGAAUGUAAUGUGUUUCAUGUUGAAUUCUUAAUAUCACUGUGUCCUAGUCAAUGUCCCGUGAUGGCUCCCCAUUCCUCGGUCAUUUCCCUGGUCCUUUUCACCGGUCCUUUCCCCGGUCCUUUCCCCGGUCCUUUCCCAGGUCCUUUCCCAGGUCCCGUUCUUGUUGAUUCCCCUACGCAUGGAGGAGUAGCAUGGUUGAGCUUGACAGCAGCCCCGCCCUGAGUGCGAGUGGUUCAGUGCACUCCAAUACGAAGCUGCUGUCAAGGCUGCUGUAUACCCCCUCUCCCGCGCGCCUCGUCCCUGCCUGUUUUCUUCAACCCCUCCGCAGCUCCACGGUUCCGCCCGUGCACGGGGUCCAUCCCUGACUUCUGUUCAUUCCUGACCUCUAUCGUCUCAGCUUUUCUUCACUGUGCGCGGGUUAGCUGGACCAUGGACUGUGGAAGGAGUUGCAGCGGGCUUUGCACCCCUGACAACUCUGCGUGACUUAAAAUGCGGCAUCCCCGGCAAAUCCUCGUCACCGGCUCUGCGCAUCUGCAAAAAGGAAGACUUGAUCGGGGUGUCCUUCAUCCUCGUCAUAUCGCCGAAAAUCUCCUAAAGGACCAUGACAUUCCCUCACUUUCUACAAAAUAUAUAUGUCACUAUGGUAGAGUUUGCCUCUCCUCAGACACCGCUUGUUUUGUUCAAAAGCGUGCGUGAACCCCCCCCUCCGUUUGUCUGGAAAAUGGCCAAAAUGGCCGUUUAAUGUCUGGAGACAUUAAGAUAGGAGCCCUGCUGCUGGGCCUAGGAGCGAGCGAGAGCACAAGCUCGAUCGCUUGUCACCAGCGGCUCAGUGCGUGUCUCCACCUCCCACUGAUCCCAACCGUACGCGGGAGCGACGCAUUUCCACGAUCAUUGGCGGCUGGGCUGGGCGUCACUUGUUUCUUACUUCCCUUGCCCCUUCCCGUCGUACCACUGAUCUUUACCCUCUCCAAUCUCCAUGUGAGCUAGCCCGGACACAGACCACCCGCCGCAUACCCUACAGAACCCUGUGUAACCGCCAGCCGCACGUUGACAUGUAUGUAUGUACACCUACGCGCGCCUGGUGGACCGGCGAGGUCCACGUACGGUAGUGUAAAGCAACUGCCUCUUACGAUAUGGACUAUAUAUUGUACGGCAAUAACGCGUGCAAGAGGCGCCUCCCGGCUUUAAGGCCGCAUGUACGGUACUGCACGCCUGCCCUGGUCGAAGUCAGUGAAUGGCCCAUGAACCAUGGCGUGUGGGGAGCCGUGGCACGAGGCUGUCACCUCGAUUACCGUACAUUGGCGCAAUAACACAUAUAUACUGAGGCCAUACAUGAAAUGCCACCUUUGCCCCUGCUGCCUACCUACGCGCACAGGCCUACUGUGUAUGUUGCACAGCACUACUGCCUCGCCUCUACUCGCUUGCGCCUGAGACAUCCCUUAGUCCCCCGUCCCCUGUUUCUUACUGCAGCAACACAGUCCCCAGGAAACACCGCCCGCACCCAGAGCCUCACCCCUCCAACCUUGGCCACCCCUAAUCAACCUACGCCACGCUGCUAGCAAUUCGUGGAAAUGCCUUGCGCCUCGCGUCGCACCUCGCGCCUACUUUGACCCACCGGCCGACUCAAUGACCUGCACGCACUCCGCCACGCUCGCCCCUCGCCGCAUCGCCUCAAUCAGGGCCUUGUGCUCCUCGGCAUGGCUGCAUUGCAAAAAUAUAGCGCCGGGAAAGGGAAAGGUUGGCAGAUGACAUUGGGUGGGUUAGCUUCCAAAGUUUACAACCAAAAGUGUACGAGGGGUUACGGUAGCACGGUGCGUGUACGAACCCAACUGGGAAACUCAAUUUACGAGCACGUCAAGUGAUUGGCGUGGGUCCCGCACGCACAGCUGCGCUGCUGUGCAACCCAGGGCCACACACCCUGUGCAGCCGCCAGGGUUGGCGCGUACUGUCAUGAUUUGCGGAUAGCGCUGCCAGUCCGUAUCUCCGUGACUGGUUCCUCCGUCCGUAAUGUCAAUCAGCACAGUCCGCAGCCGCUGCCGCAAACCUAACGCGCGUGUUUGAUCCGCAACUUGCCUGCCAACGCUCCCCUCCGCAACCCAAUCAACACGGUGGUGCUAGCUGAAGUCGUGCGGUGCAUGACCCUACGCACCCGCGUCCUUCCCCCGCAGCGCAGCACCCCUUGCCGAACGCCUCCUUGCCGAACCCCUCCUUACUUGCCACCCCUCCCAGGAGUUUGAAUGUGACACGCAAAAACACGCGCACACACACGCACACGCCCUCACCUGCGCAGCAGCCCCGCCGCGCUCCACACGGCCCAGCGCGUGAUGUUCUGCUGCUGCGCGUCGCUGAGCUUGGUCUUGGAGCGCAGCAGCAGGCGCUGCAGGUCGUACAGGUCCGCGGUCUGGCCCAUCACCUGUGCGCGCGUGUGGGGUAGAACGCGUGUUAUUGUAAUGCGUGUUAGAGGUAGGGGACAAGGGGAAGCGCAAGGGGAUAGGUAUGCGAGGAUGUGCGAUGCGGUGGAAAGUUCGUUUUGGCGCUUAGAUAGCUGGUCUUGACGUCGGCACGUCAGAUAGAUUCGCGCUACUGAUGAGUUAUCGACGCCCUUAACCCGCUCCUAACGAGUUGGGGUUAAGGGCAGGGCAGGGGCAGGACAGCAGUAUACUAUAAAAAUUAUUAAGUAUCGGACUGUCAGCUCAGGGCUGAGGGCGGGUGAAGAUUUGCCCUAGCUGCAGGAUGCGCGGUGCGGCUUGGGAGGGCAACUGGCUCGGAUGGGCUGACUGUGCGGGGCGACCCACGGGGCGGACAUACAGGGCUCACACUCACACUGUGUUGGCAUCCUCCCUAGACGGCGGUUCACUCCCUGUUACGCCGCAUGCCCCAGCAAAGCGCUGCACCCGCCCACAGGCAGGGCAAAUUACAUACUGGACACCAUCCUAUUCCUCAAACCUAGCCUUACUUCCAAGCAGCCAUUACACCGCCGCUUGCUCCUUACUUCCGCUGCUCUGUGUUGCCCAUUACGAGGCUUUCCUGUGCUGCCUCCGAUGACUGCUACCAUUGCUUGUUUAGUUCAUGUGCCAUAAUCUUAAUCUUCCCCACGUGCGUUAGUCAGGGCAUCAAACCCCCUCCGCCUUUCCCCUUCUGACACCACGCACCACCACCAACACCAUCACCCUCGUAGACAGUUCAAGCGUGACGUGUCUAGCCGCGGCUGUACGCUGCGCCAAGGCCGGGUGCAGUGCGGUGGCCUAACUAACAGCACCGCGGCGGGCUCCUUACUAGGACCUGACUCCUGACUAACUGUGCGUGUUCCUGUGUUGCCUCCGAUGCAUGGCUUAAUCAGGUCCUAAUAGCUUCGCCACGUGUUUGGGCCCGUACUUCAAAACCCCUCCACCUCGUCCCGUUACCCCUCGGCCUCCCGCCCCCGCGACCACGCCCCGGCAACCAGCCCCCGCCCCCCCUGCUGACCCCCAGCAGCUCACCACCCCUGCUGACCCCCCUGCUCACCCCCGACCUCACCCCCCAGCAGCUCACCUCCUCGUACUCGCGCCCCUCCGCCGCCAUGCCCGCCACCGCCACCAGCGCCAGCGAGUCAAUCUCCUCGUCCGUCAGCUGCCGCUCGAUGAUGCGCUGCGGGGAACAACACGAACGACAAAUAAUGUGUGAAGUGAGCGAGGUUAAUUGUGACGAUAUGCAUGUGAACAAUAAGCAAAUCCCGCACUCCCCCGCGCACUCCCCCGCACACACCUUCCGCACACUCCCGCCGCACACUCCCUCAACACCUGCUACCUCUCAACACCCCUUAAACACCGACGGCAGGACUCAAGACUCGAGACUCAAGGGCGCCCAAGACCCACAGAUUAAGGCCACACCACCUCCGCGCUCUGGGCAGGGCUGGCGGGUUUGAUUGGGUUCCCUCGGUCGGCUUGCUUUGGGGUUUGGAAUCAACUACCCGUCCUCCUCCCCCCCCCCCUUCCCUCUCCCCCUCCCCCCUCUCCCCCGAAUGCUGCCUUGCUACCCGCCCCGCGCCGCGCAUGUCGUCUCGAUGCCGACAUGCGCCGGUGCUGCUGGUGCGCCAGACAGGUUGGUAUACAGUUGCGCAAUACCGUAUAGUUCACUCGGAGUUAUGCGGGUUGGGUUGCAAUCGCGCCGCAAGCCUGGGUGGGGCCUCUUCCACAUCCCUCUCCUCCUCCCGCUCUAACCCCCCCCCUCUCGCCCUCCUCCCCCUCCCCCUCCCUCCCUCCCCCGCGCGCCCCACCUGCUGUAUCUUGGCCUCGGCGAACUCGGUGUGCUCGCGGCCCAGCUCGACCGAGUAGCCGGUGAUGGGCACCCCCACCAGGUACCCCAGCAGGAAGUGCGCCGCCUCGUGCUUGAGCACACGGUCCUGCGGGCGCAAGAGUUGUGUUGUAGUUUUUUGUUUGUAUGUGUGUGCGCGUGUGUGUUGCUGUUAUAAAGCACAAUGGGAAGGUGAAUGUAUAUGUGUGUGCGGGCGUGUGGCUUCCAAAGCACAAGGGGAAGGGGUUCAUAACACAGUGCACGCGGGUCGGGACGUGUGGUGAGGAAGGGGGUUCGCAAGCAAGAAAGGCGCAGAGCAACAGUUGGCAUACAUACUUGAGAACUUUAACGUGUGGCGCGUGAACAUGCCAGACGACUGCACCUGCUGCCCGUUGCUGUCCGGUCUUUAUGCCCGUCCACCCGCACAUCCACGCCCCCCAGUGCUCCUUAGCUAGCGCUCCUACUCAAGUGUUCUCCCACCACUACGACCACAGCACCUCUCCCAGCAGUUGCAACCCCGCCCAGCGCCCCGCGCCGCACGCUGGGUUUGGUUCUCGAUUUGUUGCCCGUCACCGCCUCCCCCCACUGUUUAACACUCCNNNNNNNNNNNNNNNNNNNNNNNNNNNNNNNNNNNNNNNNNNNNNNNNNNNNNNNNNNNNNNNNNNNNNNNNNNNNNNNNNNNNNNNNNNNNNNNNNNNNGGCGUUGGUACGUAUGGGGGGCCCGCCAGCACGAUAAAGCCAGUCGGAGUGCGUGUCAUCAGGCAGACGCCAGGUGCCUGCUGGCUGCUGACAGACGACAUGGGGCCUGCUGGGCAGGGGUCGUAUCUUGUUUGCGGGGGAAUGUCUUGACCCAGACAUUCCUGGCCUCUGGAGCGGAAAUUUUUGUCAAGGGGGUAGACAAACAGGCCCCCAAAUCCACGAUUUUUUUGUCUAGACAAAGUGCCUUUGUGGAAGCCAUGUAAAAUGUCUAGACAUCUUGACAUGUUGCAAUUUCGCUUUUUCGCAACUGUAAACGGCGGCUUUUGUAUCUGUUUCACGCAGUGCAACACUAAUGAACAAGUCCAAAUGCGAUCAUAUGCACAGGCAUGUCGCAGCGCGUUUCCCCAAGCAACUCUGAGCCUUCGCUUGCCUGCGCGGCGUACAUGCUAUACCUGCUAACUGCUUGCUGUCACCGAAGUGCCGGGGCCAAAGCCAUGACCAGUCACAGUUCUACCGCACAUACACACAGGCAGAGCGCCAUCGCGGCCUAACCGCUUCCAGUUUAGUCAUCUUCACACGUCGGCACACACCCUCGUGCAUCGAAUCCCCAAUACACUAUCGUCCCUUCUUUCAACGUUUCAAUCAUACACAAUCGUAUCGGGUAUGUAUUUGCUAGAUGGACCGCUUUCAAAGAAUUCAAACGUUCGUAUGCCAAAUUAUUAGCACGAGACAUCCACAUUCUGAACGGCCUCCUCCUCAGCCUCCUUCAGAAGUGCCUUGACAUCAAUCUCACACACACGAUGCUUCACACGGGACGGGCGGGCGUUGUGGCUGCUGCGCUGGGGCACGCGGCCAAGCUUUGCAGCGAACUUCUGAACUGCAGGCCCCAGCAGCGUUGCAUCAAACUCAGCAUACGGGGCAAGGGAGACACCAGCCACAGGCCGCUGCUGGUACGCAAUUGGUGGGCCCACAAGGCGCACACGCAUCAGUACGUCAAGGGUGCCAAGCUUCAUGCUUGCCCGGCCAGGCGUCUUGAUGUCAUUCAUCGCGCUGAAGCCACGCUCAACUUCUGCCGUAGAUGGCUGCAGCACAAGCAUAAUCUGCACCAGGACAGUGAGCUCACGGCCCAUGCCAGACAGCCACGACAAGAGCCUCUCAUAGAACGGCCUCGCCUUCAUAACAUCACCACUCUUCUUCUGCUCCUUUGCCACUGCAAUCAGGCGCGCCCGAGCCAUCACCCACUGGUCAACUGCCAACAGGCAAUCAUCACCCAAGACGGGCUUAAAGUGCUGUGCCAAAGCGGCCACCUCUUCCUCGCCAUACUUCGGCACACCGGAAUCAGCAGCCAAUGCACGGGGGCCCAGCACCCCAAACUUUGCAGCCACUGAGACAUCAGCGGGGAAUCGCAUUUUGAUGUUCUCAACCAGCUUCUUGACCAUGCUGCUGAGAGCAAGCUUGCUGCGGAAUAGAGUCUGAGGGAAAGCCGCCCAGCUCGGUGCCGUAGGUGCCGUGUCAUCAUCGUCGCUGCCAGACUCCGCUGUCGUGUCAGUGUUGGUGUCAGAGCCGUCAUUGUCGCUGUCAGACUCCGCUGUCGUGGUGGCGGUGGUGGUGGUGGCAGGCGCGAUCGUCGUGGGAGGGGUUGUCAGCACCAUCUGGUGGCCGUGGAACACGCCAUCCUUCGCUGCAAGGUCCUUGAUCAGGGCCUGGAUGGGUGCCGUAAAGGAUGGAGGUGCGUUCGACGUCUCGCCCUCCUUGUGGUAGGUGUAGGCGUUGAUCAGGUGCCGUAGCCCUAGUUCCAGGUACUGAUGCACGUCAACGAGGGCGAGAUCACUCUGCUGGAACCACUUGCUCAAUUCCGCUGUUG
rnacentral:lncRNA from 1 species